GUUAAGGCAGAUGUGGAGGCACAACGGGUGAUACCAGACACACACCAAGCACAUUAUGUUCGGACAUUCAAUCAUGACAUGAUCCAGGUGGAUGCUGUCCAUUGAGGAAAGAGUUUGUUCAGCGGUUUCUGGAUAGAAUUAAUUCCAAAGAUGGGAAAAAGUGCACAUCCAGACAAGGAGCAAGCAAAAAGACAAGGAACUUGGUGCAGAGAAAAGCUGUGGCCAUUAACCCCUGUGAACAGCUUCAUGCAGUCCCUGAUUGAGUUCGAAUGGACGACUUCAAAGUAAAGGCCACUGUGGUCUGUCUGCCACAGUUUAAUGCAUUUAUUUUUAGUGUUAAAUGAAAUUCAAGUAGAAUAUUUAAAACUAUGGGCCAGUGUUCUUUUUACCACAGUGAAAUGUUACCUUUUAGUCGAUGAUGGACUUUAAACUGAAAAAAUCAAACUAUGGACCUGUGUUCUAUUUGCCAGAGUUAAAUAUGUUACAGCAGGGGUCUCCAAACUUGUUUAUACUUGUUGAUUUUAUUUUAUGUUACUUGAUUAUAUGUUUAUUAUUGUUUAAAAUCUUGUUUUAAAUAUGUUUGUUUCAAUUAAAUGUUUUUUUAAAUAAAAUUU